CCUACGGGAGGCAGCAGUGGGGAAUAUUGCACAAUGGGCGCAAGCCUGAUGCAGCGACGCCGCGUGAGGGAUGGAGGCCUUCGGGUUGUAAACCUCUUUUGUUUGGGAGCAAGCCUUCGGGUGAGUGUACCUUUCGAAUAAGCACCGGCUAACUACGUGCCAGCAGCCGCGGUAAU
rnacentral:rRNA from 1 species